rnacentral:rRNA from 1 species
GAUGAACGCUGGCGGCGUGCCUAAUACAUGCAAGUCGAGCGAACAGACGAGGAGCUUGCUCCUCUGACGUUAGCGGCGGACGGGUGAGUAACACGUGGAUAACCUACCUAUAAGACUGGGAUAACUUCGGGAAACCGGAGCUAAUACCGGAUAAUAUAUUGAACCGCAUGGUUCAAUAGUGAAAGACGGUUUUGCUGUCACUUAUAGAUGGAUCCGCGCCGCAUUAGCUAGUUGGUAAGGUAACGGCUUACCAAGGCAACGAUGCGUAGCCGACCUGAGAGGGGGAUGGGCCAAAUGGGAACUAGGACGGGGUCCAGACCCCCACGGGGGGCAGCAGUGGGGAAUUUUCCGCAAGGGGCGAAAGCCUGAAGGGGAAACGCCGGGGGAGUGAUGAAGGUCUUGGGAUCGUAAAACUCUGUUAUUAGGGAAAAAAAAAUGUGAAAGUAACUAUGCACGUCUUGACGGUACCUAAUCAGAAAGCCACGGCUAACUACGU